UACGGGGGGGGCAAGCGUUGUUCGGAAUUACUGGGCGUAAAGGGCUCGUAGGCGGCCAACUAAGUCAGACGUGAAAUCCCUCGGCUUAACCGGGGAACUGCGCUUGAUACUGGAUGGCUUGAGUUUGGGAGAGGGAUGCGGAAUUCCAGGUGUAGCGGUGAAAUGCGUAGAUAUCUGGAGGAACACCGGUGGCGAAGGCGGCAUCCUGGACCAAUACUGACGCUGAGGAGCGAAAGCUAGGGGAGCAAACGGG
rnacentral:rRNA from 1 species